CAUGUUAACCUAGGAAGGCUGUUUCUAGUACCUGAGCUUGAUCACAGAGAGUUCUCAGCUCUUUCUCUGCACUGAACUACUGUGCCUCAGCCAUGACUCCACGCCAAUCUCUGCAGCAUCUUUCAGGACAGCCCAAAGGUUGGCUUCAUCUUCCCUCAAAAAAUCUUCUGAGACUUCACUUCAAAGACUCAGGUUCUCUGCUUUCAUGCCAUGGUUUCUGAUUUUGCUCAGGAAUUUCCAAGCUUCUAUAAGGCCAGCAGUGAGUGAGUAAACUCCAUUUAAAACUGAUUCUCUUGAUGAGUGGGAAUGAAGAGCAAUGUGGUGAUGUCCUUUUUUUGGGUGAGUUUAAACAAGGGCUGUGAAAAUGAGGGCUUUGAUAUAUGUGCUGAUGCAAACAACUGUGCUUCUUGAAGGAAUGCUGUCCCACCAAAUGCCAACACAGAGAAUUUCACCCCAUCCUGCUAUGUUCGCAGACUGAUACUGGUGUCUUAUUAGUGAGCAUGAACAAUUCUAGGCUUUGGAUUAAGUUGAGCAGGCAGUGAGUAUGAGACUGGGCACUGUAUUAUUAUUUUUUUAACUUACCUUGGAGUAAAGAUCUCGUAAAUGCAGUAAGACACAUGUCAGUAAUGCCUUUGGUCUUAAUUCGAAGCAAAUGCCAUGUUCCUGAUGGGAACAGCAAGGGUUUCUCCCACAGCAAUCAAGUUAGGUUUGAGAUGGAAGGCACCAGGACACAGAAAACAAGAUGCCCUCAUCCCCAUACUCCUGUUGGCCUGAAGUGUCAGGCUUGGCAUGUGGCAGGGGUGACUCCAUGUUGUGAAAAGCAGUCAAAUAACUUACUUCCCAAAGUCAGGGAGAGCAGGGUAGAAAACUGACUUGCUGAGUCGCAAUCUGCUUUUGGCAGAAAAGAGAUACACAGCACCCCUUGCUCUGAGCAGAUUGUGCAGUUACCUUUUAGCCCCUUGCUAGUUGUAGACAGAGUUUAUUCUGUUCACACUGCAAUAUGUGGACAUUAGCUCAUGACUUCCUUUAGUGUUAAAUCCAGAAGUUUAAAAAUAGGAGGAAGAUGCAAGGAUUUCAUCAAUAUAUUAUUAUCCAUUAAUUAUAUGAAUUGUAUCCAUUAUAUAAUACAAAAUGAGAAGAUACUGUAAUAUAUAUGUCUCUGCACAGUCCUGGGAACUUGCAUUUGCAUGUUUUCCAGAGGAGGUGUCCUGACUUUCAGGAUGAAUAUUAGUCUUUAAUGCUUAAUUUUCACUCCAGGUUUAACACAGAUGUAGUGGAAUGGAGGGAAAAUACAUAAUCAGACUUGCACCAAAGCUGUUGUCUUAACAUAGAUGGUCCUGAAGCUUGUUUAUAUUAAAUUUGAUUCUAUUCCUACUUGAACUGCUUUAUUGUUCUAAUUGCUCACCUUUAUUUAUUUAUAUAUAAGCUUCUCUCUUGGUUUACCUGUAAGUUACCCAGUAAUUUAUUUUCAACAUAGUAUUAUUUUUGCAUUACGCAUUGGACCUAAUGUUGGUUGAUAAUGUUCUGCUUAAGCCUUUGGAAGGAAGCUGAUUCACAACAGCUGCAGGGUUUCUUGGUGACAUUUGUUUUUUUUAUGACCAUGCACAAGGAGAAGUGGCAAUGGUGCACUUGGACUUCAUCAGCUUCUGGCCAAUGGUCCUUUUCAGGCUGUGAUAGUGGACCAAGUAUUUUGGAAAUAACAGUGUAUCAGCUGAAAGGAGAAAUAGUUUUUUCUUUGCUUUGUUUUACAUUAACACCUCUCUACUGUUAAAUAGCUACAGUAUUGGUUCAGAACUGAAGAAAAGCUCUGCUAUUUUUAAAUUGAUAUUGCUCUUUUUGAGGAGGAAAGGAACUUCAAUUUUACAAAACUUUCAAUUUCCUUUCUCUUUCUUAUUGCACUACAAUGUAUAUUCAGUAUAUAUUGAAUCACAACUGUAAGAGGAAGAAGAGAGAGGAUGGCCACAAACGCCUCUGGUAGCUGGGUAAAAGGACUUCAGGGGUGAGAAGAAUGAAGGCUGUUGGGCAAGGAGUGGAGUUGUCACCCCUGGAGGUUUUCAAGAAACAUGUAAAUGUGGCACUGAGUGACACUGUUAGUGAGCAUGGUGGGGAUGGGUUGGAUUUGGAUCUUAGUGGUCUUUUCCAACCUUAAUGAUGCUAUGACUCUAUGACCUUCUUAGAGCAAAGAGGAGUUUAUGAACACAGAACACGGUGUUUUGCCUGCAAUUGAUGUGUUACAGACUUGAUUUUGUUAUGGAGGUUGUCUAACCUUUGGGAUUAUCUUAAUUUCUUCAAAGAAAAGAAGAAAAGUUUCACGUGUGUUUGGCAAGCUAAUAGAACUGAUCAAGUGAUUGGGUUUGUGGUUUGAAUUUAGAGAUGGUCAAACUUUUGUUGUGAUUUGAUUUUUGCUAUAUUUUGUGACUUUGAAGCAGACCUUCUCCACUCUACCUCGGUAUCCCACCAGUACACACAAUGUUAACUUAGGAAAUCUCACAGGGUUUUAAAAUGUUUUGAAGAAGUCCACAUCCAUGUAGGCACUAGGUAUGAUCUUACAUUUCCUCAGCCGCCAGUUUGGAGAAUGUUGGGAACUGGGGUAAAAUACAGACACCUGUUUCACCCUCAAGGUCCUUGACAUAUAUGGAGCUCUAUAGAUAUGAAAAGCAAGCUCCUGUACCACAGCAGCUAACUCCUACACAUUCAGGAAUGAAAUGCAAGUCUCUGCUGGCAUCAAGGGCGCACUCCACCUGAAGAAGGGCUGAUCUCCCCCAUGUUCUGUGGGCCUCUCACCUGUGGCUUAGCCAGGAUCCAGUCUGGCCACAGGUUUCCUGUUGCUCAAGGCUGAUUUGUAAAAGCUGAUUUCUUUGGCCUCUGCAUUGUCAAGUGGGUGCUGGUUUUCCAUAUCCCAGAUCUCCACACCUCCAAAGCUCUCAUAUAUGCCUGGUGCUGCCCCUAAGCCUGGCCACGAGCUGAGCUGUAUACCCAGCUGCUUCUUCGAGCUCGUGAUAAUGAAUUUUCAUUGCAGUGGAAUUUAGAAAGGAAUUGCUCUGAUUCUAAAGCUCAUUGGUUGCUAAUAGUAAUAACAAUAAAAGAGCUGUUUCUUAAGGACUAAAAACUAAUCAGGGAAUGUGUAGUUUCUAUGUCUCCUGCAGGUUCUUGUCUUGUGGGGCUGCCAGACCGCCACAGCCACGUGACCGGCUGUCUGAUUUCUGACUCAAGCUUUUCAUUUCCUAAAUGAUAACGGAUAAAAGAUAAAAUCUGGCACACACAGACAUUUCCACUUAAAUACACAGUGCAUUCGUCUGAACUACAGAGAAUGUCUUCUGUUAUGGACAAGAUCAUUGUCUGAUGCAAACUGGAAGAGAACUAUGGAAUUUCAUUGGAGUUAUGGUGUGGAGCAGUCUUUGUUGGUGAUGGUGUAUGCAGUAUGUGACUGCACAGGAACUGACUCCUCAGGCUUUCUGAAGGAACUGGAAUUAAAUUAGACUCUUCUCAGCCAAACCAGUUCCUUCACCCAGUUCAAAAUACAACCAUGGCCACAUUACAGAAAAAGUUGUAUGGAUGUGGAGACAAACAGCAGAAGUCAGGAUGCCUCUCAUUAGCCAUCGGGGCUGCCAAAAGGUGAGAAGGUGACAAGAAUGAAAUGCACAAAAUGCAUGUGUAGGAGCAACUUUGUAGGUCAAGAAAGAGCUUCACUUUAUAAAAAUAUUAAUCCAGCACCUUUUAUUGAAACAUUCACUUGAAAUAUGUUUUUGUCAUGCUGGAAUUUCUUAAUGGCUGCAAUCAAGUUGUCUUUCAUCUGCAGGCAGUUGCUGACCUCAUUAAUGUAAAUGGACUUGCUAGCCACAUAUCAUUGGUGCUAUACAAACCAAAGGGUUUAGUUAUAAAGAAAGAUAGAGGAAAACAAUGAAAGUCUUUGCCAAUCAACUUGAAUCCAUGCAGGCCAAAUAAGGAAAUGAAAGGACAAGGGUGUUGAGCUGAUGCUGGCUGUGAGUGCAAUGGGAAGUAGGAGAAGCAGGGUGAAGCAGCCCUGGAAGGAAAUCAAGAGAGGAGAGAAGGACCUUUGGCCAAAAGCCU